rnacentral:lncRNA from 1 species
UUGUUUUGGUAAAAAAAAAUACCAAAUAAUGGGUUGUUUGUGGAUAAAUUAAAUCACUUUUUGGGUAGUAGGACUGAUUUUGAUUAACUAAAUCAAGGGAGGGGUGAUUUUGUUUAUUUUAAAUCAUGGUUUGAGUCCUUUGACCUUCGACUGGUCAAAAUAGGAACCGAUAGAAACGGUAAGGGCUUGUUUGCUUCGUCAUUUGUUGAACGGGAAGGGAAGAACGUCUGCGCGAGCAGACGAACGAGAGAGAGGGAAAAGCGAAGGCUCGUCGGUCGAUUUGCAAAGCCGAGAUGGUCUCCGACUCCGAGGUCCGACUUGCCCGAAGAAUAAAUGGGAGAAGUAGCGAAGAUGUGCUCUUCUGGGUCGGCUGCUAGGUGCGAAGGAGGACGAUCGAUCGGUGACACCGUGGAUUUGAUGGUGCGGCGGUGGCCGACAAAUCGCGAGGAGAGGAGGGCGUCGACCUCCGACGACCCUCCUUGGUCCAUUUGUUCCGUCGUUGGUAGCCACAGAUCGAGAAAAAUAACGCAACGAAGAAUAACGGACAUAGCCACAGUGGGCAGCUCCGAAGUUCAAGCGGUUUGCGGGGAAGGGAUCCUCCUAUCUCCGGCGACCCGUCUAUGGUAUCCCUGCUCGUCGCCGGUGGCAGCAAUCGGAAGGAAAGAAGCUCAGAAGUAGUGGCAGGCGACAUUUGGGGUAUGCAGUUUCCUCUGGUGAGUUCUUCGUCUCCGUUUCUCCCUUUUAGUUGUCACAUGUUUGAGUCAAGAACAGCAACAGCGGUUGCCAAGGGAGACAGGGGAGGGUGACGGGGCCAGAAGGGGGCUGCUCCAGUAAUCCUUCUUGCUUCAUUUCUCUAUUAUUAUCUUUUUUAUAUGAUUGUUUGUGCAGGAACACGGAAAAGGUAACCCUUGACAGCUCACUAUGAGAAAUAGCUUCUAAGUUCUAACUAGAUUGUUUUGUAUGUAUCUUUGUAUAAAAUGGUUUGUUUUGUGUGUAUCUUUGUAUAAAACAAGGGUUGUACAAUAAUUUGUAUAAUUUGUAUAAAUAUAGAAAAUUGUUAACAAUUUACAUAAUAUUUAUUAUGUAAUAUGCCUUUAUUUUUGAUAAUGAUAGUAAUUUUUUUUAUAUUAAUUUUCAUCCAAUUUGAGUUUUCUAUCAUCCAUUAUAGCAACGUACUUUCUUCCCAUGUAAAAUUUCCAUUAUUGGUUUACAAAUAUAUUUUUUUGUUUAUAUUUUAUAUGACCAUCAUACAAGUACAUAAAUUAUAUAAUAAUCUGCUUAAAGGUUAAACUUCCCUCAACUUUAAUUAAUUCAUUUCUUAUAUUUAUAUAUUCAUGUCCUGCAUAACUAAUAAUACUGUUUACUAGUUUUUGCCAACAAUUGUUUUCGUCAGUUUACUAGGUUUAUCAUAUACCAAAUUUCCACUACAUAAUAUCAUUAUGUGUUUCAUAUAUAAGUAUCCUUAGUACGGAGUUAUUCCAAUUUGUGUAAGAAAUUUGUUUAUCAAUCUCAAAUCAGUUAAAAUACAACAUGCACUCUUCCCAAAAUAUAAAAUCUAAAAAGGACUGGGGCUAAAGAACUCACAUAAACCGGCCAUGAUUUUUUUUUUCCGGACUACAUUUUCAAUAAUAGAAAUGAUGUCAAAAAUAGAUAUUUUAAUUAUUCACGAUUAAUAAAUCUAAAACCGUCUGAUUUUUCAACUUUUAUAGAUAAAUUUAGUAAAAGUAUUUCAAAUAUGAAAUCAAAUAUUAGGCUAUAGUCCGAGUCCAAAAAUGCUUUCGGAAAUUCCAUUUGAGGUGUUCAAGUCUCUCAAUUGAUAGAAACGGUUUUAGCGGUUUUUAGAAAAUCAGUAUUAUAUUGGUUUUGGAUUUUUAACACGGUCGUAUCUUUUGCAUAGGAACUCCGUUUUAGACAUUGUUUAUAUUUUCGGAAUCAGGGAAAGACGUACUACGAGAGUAGAAUGCUUGCUUUGCUCACAAAUGCGUAAUGCGAAAUUUCAGUUUUUAAGACGUAUUUUUAUGGUUGCAGUUUGAGCUAUUUGUUUCGUUUUUCAGAUUACACAAUGGGAAGUAAGAUACCGUCUGGUAUCUUAUAAUAGUCAAAAUAACUCAUUUAUUUUAUAUUAGAUGCACUACAACUCAUUGAAACAAUUUACAAAGAAACUUACUGUUAACUUGACCGUUCACAUUCUUUGACCUGAAUUCCGGAAUGUCACAUUAAAACAGUCAAAACUUUUCAAGAAACCGCAGUUGAACAUUUCUGACUGCGGUUCUCUGAAAACUCUGCGGUUCUUCAAAAACUCAAGCAAAACUGGCUUUCAAAGAACAUCUCAAGUCUCGAAACAAGAAGCGGGAUGAUAAAUAGAAAAACCAUUUCAAACAUCCCAAGAUUUCAAAUCUAAGGAGUUUAGAAAAACCCGUCACUGACAAAAAUCUUUCGAAAAUCACUACAGUCAAAGAAUCCGACAAAAGGGAGUGUAAGGUAAGAAGAAGUAUUCAAACACUCCUGCAAAAUCUCAAAAGAAAGUCAUGUCUUUUCAAAGAUCUAUUUUUCAAAAUUACUCCUUAAAAGAUCCAAAAUAGUUUAAUUUCUGUCAUUAUAAUUAUUUAAAACAUCAAACAAUUUUUUUUUUAUUUUAAAGUUAAUAAUAUAAUCAUUAUGUAGAGUUAUUUUUAACUGUUUUUAUUGUAUGAAAACUUUUAACGAUUAUAAAAAUAUCUUAAGGAAAUAUUUUAGUUAAAUUGAUAUUACAAUUUAGUUUUUUUAUUUAGCACUACAAUUUAUCAUUUUUAACUAUUCAUAAUAUAUUGUUUGAGUUGUUGCCAAAUGUGUUGUCAUAGAAUUUGACAUAUGUAAUUUUCUAAGAGUUUUUGAAUUAUUUUAUUCCACUUGUCAUUUUUUUAUAUUUUUCAUUUUUAUAAAUUUAAAAUCCACAUUUUAAUAAGAUUUAUAUAUGUAAGGUAGGUCAUUCUAUUUAAUUUCAUAAUAAAUGUUCAAUAAUCUUUGAAAUCUCUUAUAUUAUAUAUUAAAUUACUUACUUUAUUUUUUAUAUCUUUUAUAUUUAUGUAAAACUAUUACUUUAAAAAUAUGUAAUUAUUAUAACUUUAAAUUAAACUUUUGUUUUCAAUAAACCCAUGUCACACCUAGUUUGUAUAAUUUGUAUAAAUAUAGAAAAUUGUUCCCAAUUUCCCUUUUACAUAAUAUUAUGUAAUAUGUCUUUAUUUUUUAUAAUGAUAUAAUUUUUUUUUUUAUUGAUUUUCAUCCAAUUUGAAUUUCGUAUCGUCCAUUAUAGCAACGUACUUUCUUCCCAUGUAAAAUUUCCAUUAUUGAUUUACAAAUAUAUUUUCCUGCUUAUAUUUUAUAUGACCAUCAUAUAUAUACAUAAAUUCACACAACAUCAAAUUUAUUUGAAUUUAUAUAAUAAUCCGUAUAAAGGUUAAAGUUCCCUCAACUUUUAUUAAUCCAUUUCUUAUAAUUAUAUCGUGUCCUGCAUAACUAGCAAUACAAUUUACUAGUUUUGCCAAUAAUUGUUUUCGUUAGUUUACUAUGUUUACCACAUACCAAAUUUCUACUACAUAAUAUCGUUAUGUGUUUCAUAUAUAAGUAUACUUAGUAUGGAGUUAUUCCAAUUUGUGCAUGAAAUUUAUUUAUCAAUCCUAAAACAGUUAAAUACAACAUGUAAUGUCCCCAAAAUAUAAAAUAUCAAAAGGACGAGGGCUAAAGAACUCACAUAAACCAACAUUGAAUUUUUUUUUCUGGACUACAUUACCAAUAAUAGGAAUCAUGUUGAAAAUAAAUAGUUUAAUGUUUCCGGAUUAAUAAAUUUGAAAACAUUUGAUUUAUCAACUUUUAGAAAUAUUUUUACUAAAAGUAUUUCAAAUAUGAAAUUAAAUAUUAGGCUAUAGUCUCAGUCCAAAAAAUGCAUUCAGAAAUUCCAUUUGAGGUAUGCAAUUCCCUUAACUGAUAGAAACGGUUUUAGAGGUUUUUAGAAAAUCAGUAUUAUACGGGUUUUGGAUUCAUAAAACGGUCAUAUCUUUUGCAUAUGAACUCCGUUUUGGACGUAUUUUAUAUUUUCAGAAUCAGGGAAACACGUACUACAAGAGUAGAAUGCUUGCUUUGCUCUCAAAUGCUUAAUGCGAAAUUCUAGGUUUUCAAACAUUUUUUAUGGUUGCAGUUUGAGCUGUUUGAUUCAUUUGUCAGAUUACACAAUGGGAAGUAAGAUACCUUCUGGUAUCGUAUGAUAGUAGUUUAUUCGUAACAAUAUAGUAAAUUGUUAAAUAAUAAUAUUUUUAUAAAUUAGAUUUAUUGUAUUUUCGCAUAAAAGAUAAUAUAUUUUAAUAAACAAAAACAUAUAUAGGCACAUUUANAAAAUAUUAAAAAUGGGCCGUAAGCACUCACCCUUGAAGCAUGAGUUCCAAUCGUUCGAAUUCGUAUAUUUUUGAGAAACUCAUCGUGAGAAGCCACAAAUUCACAAUUUUUGAACUUUAAAGCACCUUCGGGACCGUUUUGUAAAAAUUUUCACAAUAAGGGUUGUUUUAUAAUUUCGCUAAAAUGUAAGGGUUGUUUGGUAAUUUAAUUGAACAAAUAUGACUGUUUCGGUAAAAAAAAAAAAAAAAAAAAAAAAAAAAAAAAAAAAAAAAAAAAAAAAAAAAACACACACACACCAAAUAAGGGGUUGUUUGUGGAUAAAUUAAAUCACUUUUUGGGUAUUGGGAUUGAUUUUGAUUAACUAAAUCAAGGGAGGGGUGAUUUUGUUUUUUUCAUGNAAUCAUGGUUUGAGUCCUUUGACCUUCGACUGGUCAAAAUAGGAACCGAUAGAAGCGGUAACGGCUUGUUUGCUUCGUCAUUUGUUGAACGGGAAGGGAAGCACGUCUGCGCGAGCAGACGAACGAAAGAGAGGGAAAAGCGAAGGCUCGUCGGUCGAUUUGCAAAGCCGAUAUGGUCUCCGACUCCGAGGUCCGACUUGGCCGAAGAAUAAAUGGGAGAAGUAGCGAGGAUGUGCUCUUCUGGGUCGGCUGCUAGGUGCGAAGAGGACGAUCGAUCGGUGAC